UUUAAUGAGAGUUUGAUCCUGGCUCAGGACGAACGCUGGCGGCGUGCCUAAUACAUGCAAGUAGAACGCUGAGGUUUGGUGUUUACACUAGACUGAUGAGUUGCGAACGGGUGGUAACGCGUAGGUAACCUGCCUCAUAGCGGGGGAUAACUAUUGGAAACGAUAGCUAAUACCGCAUAAGAGUAAUUAACACAUGUUAGUUAUUUAAAAGGAGCAAUUGCUUCACUGUGAGAU
rnacentral:rRNA from 1 species